AGUGAGCUGUAGCUCACGAAAGCUUAUGCUCAAAUAAAUUUGUUAGUCUCUAAGGUGCCACAAGUACUCCUUUUCUUUUUGCGAAUACAGACUAACACGGCUGCUACUCUGAAACCUCUCAGAGAGACGGGUUAAUGACACUGAUGGAAACCCCCCUUCUGGCGACGUAGGACACAGCAACACAACAGUGCAGUAGCUGAGCCUCUGUAACCACGGUAGUGUAGCCAGACCCUUAGUUUACAUGUCACUAGUAGCACCGACAGCAUGUGACAAGAUUACAUUGUGGGUAGAGCAGAGAACUGUGAGUCAGGUCUACUGGGUUUCCUUCUUGUUACUGCCCCUUCCUGAGUGACUUUUGGACAAGUUAUUUCACUGCAUUGUGUCUCCAGUUUCCAUCCCCCUGUACAAGGAGGAUAACAACCUUCAGUACCUUACAGGGGUCUGCUUGCAAAAAUUACAUUUUGCAGCAGUGCUUUGAGAUCCUCAGAGAAAAGUACCACAUUAUAAAACCAAGUCAGGAGGGCAAUAACCGAGAGGAAGUGGAGGCCUCCUGGGAAUAAUCUCCGCUGUCCACACAGACCUGCACUUAAGGAAUGCUGUCCACGCAAAUUCAGUCCCAAUGCUAAGCCCAAGAAAAAUAUUUCCAAGAUUUUCUGUUGCUUUUAAGGUGCAGCAGAAAGGUGUUAGUACACAACAAGAUCUUUCAUUCCCCUGCAGUGUUCAAGGAGGAGUGAAAUGUUUCUACAAUUUAUUUUUAAUCCCAAUAAAAAUUCACCUACACUUUUUGUAAACUCAAACAUGAAAGGAGGAACAAUCUGAGAGUGAAACUGACUAAAAUCACUAAAAACAAGAGUGAUGCUGGCUGCUCCUUGGACAUGCUGACAGAUACGCAAACAACCCAUGAAGAACUUAGUAUCAUUCUGACUGGACUUCCUCUGUUCCCUCUAAGGCCACGUUUACACAUAUAGCACAGCAGCAGUGUAGCUUUACCAGUGCACUGCAGUGUGUCUGGUGAAGAUGUUCUAUGCCGAUGUGAUGCUGUGUAUAAGAAAGGAGAGCAUUUCUAUCACUGUUGUUACCAUUGUCACACAAUUUCCAUGGAUCUUAUACAGCUUGUAUCAUGUAAGGUGUCAGUGGAAAAGUUGCUUCAAAAACAGACUUCAAAGAGAAACUGCUGAGCUACAAUUCAUUUGCAAAUUUAACACAGUUAAUUUGGGAUUAAAUAGGGACUGGGAGUUGCUGGCUCAGGACAAAAGCAAUUUUCCCUCUCUCGGCAUUGACACCUCCUCAUCAAUUAUUGGGAGUGGACCAUGUCCACCCUGACUGAAUUGGCCUUGUCAUCACUGGUUCUCCACUUGUAAGGUAACUCCUUUCUCUUCAUGUGCCAGUAUAUUUAUGCUUGUUCUGUAAAUUUCACUCCAUGCAUCUGAAGAAGUGAGUUUUUUACCUAUGAAAGCUUAUGCCCAAAUAAAUCUGUUAGUCCUUAAGGUGACAAUGGACUCCUUGUUGUUUUUGUGGAUACAGACUAACACGGCUACCCCUCUGAUAAGUGGAAAAGUUAUGAUUUGCUAAGUAUGAUUAUCUGUUUAUAUGCAUGUAUCACUUUGUAUCUGAAGUUAUGAAUAUUGGCUGUGUACUUGGAUCUUACACAUGUGUUGUGUUGCUGGCCAACUCCACCCCACCCCACCCCACCCCGAUAGAAUUUACAUCAAGGCUAGACAGCUAUGUGUGGAUGGCCCAUCAAGGACACACAGCUCUCACAACGGGCCACUGAAGAAACUCAUCCCCUCCAGAUAGUUCUUCUUGAAGAUGCUUCAGACUGCCAGGGGCCAAUGGCCACCCCCCUGAGUCAGCAAACUGUGUAAGGACAUGUGAUAUGCUCAUGUGACUCUGGACUCCAGCUUGGGUCAGUAACUUUCCACAAACAGGGGCUCUGGGCUUUGUUUGGGACAGUAAAAUUCCAAGCACAUGGCAGAGGAUAUAAAAGACCCCUGAGUCAUCUCCAUUUUCUCUUCAUUUCCUACUUCAUUUCUCUGGAUUGGAUUUCUAACAAGGAAGCUCUGAAGAAGCAUUGAUGACCCCCAAUCUGUUUGGGUGAUUCCAGAGAUUCUUUUGCAAACCAGCAGUUUAUUCCAUCUCUGCUACAAACCUGAUAUAAAGACUUUGCAAUCACUUGUAGGUAUAUGGUUCCUUAACCAUUUGUAACUCUAUUCUUUUCUUUGAUUAAUAAAGCUUUCGAUAGUUUACUAAG